rnacentral:piRNA from 1 species
UGCACUGCACUAUGCUGACUUCGCUCGU